rnacentral:rRNA from 1 species
ACAAGUACCGUGAGGGAAAGUUGAAAAGCACUUUGAAGAGAGAGUUAAAGAGGACGUGAAACCGGUAAGAAGGAAACGGAUAGAGCCAACGUAUCUGGCCUGUAUUCAGCUGGUGUUUCCUGUCAGGCGUGUUGUUCCGCACCUGCUUCGGGGUGGACGGCGCGUCGUUCCGGCGGGUCUCACUAGUGCAUUUGCAGGUGGAGUGCGCUGAGGCUUGUGGUAUCGGCGGUUGGAACCGGUGUUGCGAGGCCAUCGUUCUCACGAUCGGUGGAACCUCAAUGUCGGGGAGGAUUGUCCGUGCUGCAUGUGUUGCGUGUGUGGCUGGGGUUGUCGGUCGUCGUGGUGGUGGCGGGUAACGGUCGCGUGCGACACGUGCUUGUCCACUGUUGCGGUUGCUGGCGGUCCUUCAUGCACGUUCUCGGUGUAAAAGUUGGUCAUCUCUCCGACCCGUCUUGAAACACGGACCAAGGAGUUUAGCAAAUGCGCGAGUCAUUGGGUGGUUGAAACUCAUAGGCGCAAUGAAAGUGAAUGUCGUCUCGUACGACUGAUAUGUGACCGUGUGCGCUACGGCGUGCACGAGCAACAUAGCCCCGUCCCGAUCGCUUGCGAUGGGGCGGAGGUAGAGCGUAUUUGCUGAGACCCGAAAGAUGGUGAACUAUUCCUGGGCAGGACGAAGCCAGAGGAAACUCUGGUGGAGGUCCGAAGCGGUUCUGACGUGCAAAUCGAUCGUCUGACCUGGGUAUAGGGGCGAAAGACUAAUCGAACCAUCUAGUAGCUGGUUCCUUCCGAA